rnacentral:lncRNA from 1 species
CGGCCGACCCGGUUCUGACCCGACCCUACUUUUUCUCCCUCCUCCGGCCACGACCCGGCCAUCCCCGGAGUCGCCGUGAGCCGCCCAGUAGCUCCAUGGCGUCAGUUUUCCCUGCCGCCCAGGCUAGGCUUGGAUUGAAGCCCCUCACCGAAACUAAAACCGACCCGGAUGGAAAACCACUUUUCCGGCAUCCCCUCGACUGAUCCUUCCCAUUUUCGUGAUCUCCUCUUCCUGAUGAUCAUCCCCAUAUAAGCCUUGCUUGACGA